AUCCUCUCUGUCAAUUUUUCAGAGGAACAUGCCAUUUCCCAGCAACUACAAAGUGUGCCCAUGGAGAAUGGACAGGAAACUUAUGUGGCCCUAAUGGAGUCUGCUGUAGGAGAAAAUCUGGGGUGUGUCGACAAAGGGGAGGAUUUUGCCAGGCCCCAGUCACCAUGGAAUGUACCUUUGGUGAGAAUCCAUGGGCCUCCUGUGGCCCUAAUGCACGCUGCUGUAAUAGAAACCGCAAUUCAUCAUAAAGACCAUGAAAGAAAAUAGAAAAUGCCAAAGAAAAUGAUACAGAAG